rnacentral:lncRNA from 1 species
CUUUCGGUGUGUCUGUUGUGUCUUGUUGCGGGCACCGCAGUCGCCGUGAAGAUGGCGUCUACCAGCCGUUUGGAUGCUCUUCCAAGAGUCACAUGUCCAAACCAUCCAGAUGCGAUUUUAGUGGAGGACUACAGAGCCGGUGAUAUGAUCUGUCCUGAAUGUGGCUUGGUUGUAGGUGAGUUGUUAUUAUGGUUUUAAUUUAAAUUACUGUUCAGGAGGCCAAGCAUGGUGGCUCACGCCUGUAAUUCCAGCACUUCGGGAGGCCAAGGUGGGAGGAUCACCUGAGGUCAGGAGUUCGAGACCAGCCUGACCAACAUGAAGAAACCCCAUCUCUACUGAAAAUACAAAAACUAGCCGGGCGUAGUGGUGGGCACCUGUAAUCCCAACUGCCCAGGAGGCUGAGGUAGGAGAAUGGCUUGAACCCAGGAGGCGGAGGUUGCAGUGAGCCGAGAUCGUGCCACUGCACUCUAGCCCGAGCAACAGAGCAAGACUCCGUCUCAAAAAAAAAAUAAUAAUAAUAAUAAUGUUUAGGGUCCUUCACUUUUGCAUAGUUUCCAAACUAUCAUUUAAUGAACACAUUUUUGACUUUCUUCCCCAACAAA